rnacentral:rRNA from 1 species
UACGAAGGGAGCUAGCGUUGUUCGGAAUUACUGGGCGUAAAGGGCUCGUAGGCGGCCAACUAAGUCGGACGUGAAAUCCCCAGGCUCAACCUGGGAACUGCGUCCGAUACUGGAUGGCUUGAAUCCGGGAGAGGGAUGCAGAAUUCCAGGUGUAGCGGUGAAAUGCGUAGAUAUCUGGAGGAAUACCGGUGGCGAAGGCGGCAUCCUGGACCGAGAUUGACGCUGAACGGCGAAAGCUAGGGGAGCAAACGGG